AAAUUUAGGCUUGAUCCACAGCUGACUGAAGUUAAUGUAAAUAUUUCCAUUGACUUCAAUCAGCUUUGGAUCAGACCUUUAAUAGU
rnacentral:pre_miRNA from 1 species